UACGAAGGGGGCUAGCGUUGCUCGGAAUGACUGGGCGUAAAGCGCGCGUAGGCGGAUCAGCAAGUCAGGGGUGAAAUCCCGGGGCUCAACCCUGGGAUGGCCUUUGAGACUGUUGGUCUUGAGUUCGAGAGAGGUGAGUGGAAUUCCGAGUGUAGAGGUGAAAUUCGUAGAUAUUCGGAGGAACACCAGUGGCGAAGGCGGCUCACUGGCUCGACACUGACGCUGAGGUGCGAAAGCCAGGGGAGCAAACGGG
rnacentral:rRNA from 1 species